AUGGCCAAUUCCUUGAUUUCUGGAGUAGAGCACAAGCCAGUGCAACACGUGGCGGUGGCCAAAGCAACGCUGCCUAAAGGAGGGAGAAAGGGAGGCCACAAAGGCCAGGCGAGGCAGUAUACAAGCCCUGAGGAGAUUUCCGUGCAGCUCCAGGCUGAGAAGCAGAAAAAAGGCGGGGGAAGAAGAGGAGCAAAAAGAAGGUGGAGAUGGGGCUGCAGGUGACCCCAAAAAGGAGAAGAAAUCUCUAGACUCAGAUGAGAGCGAGGAUGAAGAAGAUGACUACCAGCAAAAUGCAAAGGUAUUGAAGGGCUCAUCGACAUUGAGAACCCCAACCAGGUAGCACAGACAACCAAAAAGGUCACACAACUGGAUCUGGACGGGCAAAAGGAGCUUUCAAGGAGAGAAGGAGACAAGAUUGAGAAGCAGUAGGCAAAAAAGCGUUACAUGGAAACGCACUUGGUUGGGAAGACAGAGCAAGCCAAGGCAGACCUGGCCUGGUUGGCCAUCAUGCGGAAACAGCAGAAGGAGGCUGCAAGAAACGAGGAGGAGGAAAGGAAAGCAAAAGAUGAUGCCACAUUGUCAGGAAAACAAAUGCAGUCACUCUCCCUGAAUAAGUAAACACGAUUCAUGGGAGGAAAUGCCAGGGACCUGGGCCACACUGCCAGGACCUCUGCUGCGUCUCGCCCACCCUGUAGCCUGGUGCCGCUGCAACAGCCCCUCAUGGCCAGGAGCCCCCCAUGGCCUGGGGCCCCCUCUUCAUCUUGGCAGAGAAAUUGUUGGGGCGAUGUGGGAGGGGGAGGGGCAAGCUGCUAUUUUUGAGACAGAAAGAUGCAGGACAGCAUUUCAUAUGUAACCAUUUGAAUGUUUUUUGCUGUUUUUAGAAUUCAGAGCCCUUGCUGGGGGGUGCCUGGAAGAUGGGGUAUGAAGAGCUUUCCUUUUGGUAGAUAGCACGUAAGGGGGUGGUUGUGCCAGGAGGCAGCUGCUGAUGGGUUUGCUACAACCAGCCCCAGGCUGUGUUGCCUGGGUGCUCAUUCAGAAAGGGGCUGUCAUCUGGAAGCCUGUGCCCCUAGGUCCUUGAGGGUCAUGGUCUGUCCAUUCUGUCUGACCAAGGCCUCGCCUCUCUGUCCUUCCCUACCUGGUUCCUACCCACCUGGCCAGGGUCAGUGCCCAUUUUUAAUCCUACCCAUCGAUCAUUUCAAGAAACCUCUGUUUACUGUGCAGCACCCAGACAAAACAUGCUCCACAAAUUCAGCUUGUAUAUCUGGCAGAUUAAACUUGACAUUAUCGUUUAAAAAAAAAAAAAAAAAAAA